GAUGAACGCUGGCGGCGUGCUUAACACAUGCAAGUCGAACGAAGCACUUUUUCUUCUUCGGAAGAGAAAGUGACUGAGUGGCGGACGGGUGAGUAACGCGUGGGUAACCUGCCCUUAAGCCCGGAAUAACAGCUGGAAACGGCUGCUAAUGCCGGAUGGAUUUAACACUGGGCAUCCAGUGAAGAAUAAAGCUGGCCUCUGAAAAUGCUAGUGCUUAAGGAUGGACCCGCGUCUGAUUAGCUAGUUGGU
rnacentral:rRNA from 1 species